AGCGAACGCUGGCGGCAGGCCUAACACAUGCAAGUCGAACGAACCUUUCGGGGUUAGUGGCGGACGGGUGAGUAACACGUGGGAACGUGCCUUUAGGUUCGGAAUAACUAAGGGAAACUUGUGCUAAUACCGAAUGUGCCCUUCGGGGGAAAGAUUUAUCGCCUUUAGAGCGGCCCGCGUCUGAUUAGCUAGUUGGUUGAGGUAAUGGCUCACCAAGGCGACGAUCAGUAGCUGGUCUGAGAGGAUGAUCAGCCACAUUGGGACUGAGACACGGCCCAAACUCCUACGGGAGGCAGCAGUGGGGAAUCUUGCGCAAUGGGCGAAAGCCUGACGCAGCCAUGCCGCGUGAAUGAUGAAGGUCUUAGGAUUGUAAAAUUCUUUCACCGGGGACGAUAAUGACGGUACCCGGAGAAGAAGCCCCGGCUAACUUCGUG
rnacentral:rRNA from 1 species